AUGGCCAGACGGACUUGGUGCCGCUCAGUCUUCAGAGCUGCUGGGUCUUUGGGGCCUGCAGGUGUCCCCCACGCCCUGGAUGGUGUGGAAGGUCCCGGGGCCUUCUCACAGCACCACCUCCCGCUGCAGGGACCCAGCCACUCUCCACACUUGGGGAAGGGAGGCAUCGGGUCAUGCAGCAGAGUGUCAGCCACUGAGCAGGAAGGGAGAGGGGCACACACAGCCACACCACACCACACACACACCCCACCACACACACACCCAGAUACACCACACCACACACCCCAUUGCACACCACACAACCACACCAAACAUCCCAUCACACACACCACAACACAACUACACCACACACACACCAUCAUACACCCCACACCCACAAUACACCCCAUCACACCACACACACAACCACACACCCCAUCAUAUACGCAACACACGCCAUCACACAACCACACCACACCCCAUACACACCACACAACACACAACCACACCACACACCCUCACACUACACCACACACACCCCAUCAUACACCACACACCCACAAUACAUCCCAUCACACCACCACGCACACACCUCACGUCACACCACAUGCAACCACACCACACACACCCCAUCACACACCACACACAACCCAUCACACACACAACCACACCACACACAUUUCCUCACGCCACCACACACACCACACAACACGCAGCCACACCAUACACCCUAUCACACAACACAAGCACAGCGUACACACAUCCCAGCACACACACAUCCCAUCACACACUAUCACACACGCCAUACCCCAUCACAGCAACACACACAUCACACACCCCUUCACACACACCACACAGAACCACACCACACACCCCAUCACCACACCACACACACCCCAUCACCACACCACACACAUCCCAUCAUACACACCACACCCCAUCACACCACCACACACUGCAACCACACCAUACACCCCAUCACAUACCACACACAUCUCACGCACACCACAUGAUCACACACCACACACCAUGACACACACACCACACACACCACACCACACGCUCCACACAGCAUCACAUACAGCAUCAUACACACCACACCACACACACAAUUGCCCCACACACAUCAAACCACACAACCACACCACACACACCCCACACUCACAUAUCACACACACUCCACACAGACACACACACAGUAGGAGGUUCACUGCAAGGAACUGCCUUAGAAGACUUGGUCUGGCCUGGCCUGGCCAGUCUGAAUCCUCUCGGGCCAGCGUGAAGCCACUGUCCCAGGGUGACUGUUUCUGGGGGACUCGGCUGCGGCCCUGA
rnacentral:lncRNA from 1 species